CUCUCAGGGUAAUCUCAGGGGCCAAGCCCUUCAGACGGGCAUAGAGGGUCAGGGUUAUUUAGGGGGAGGGGGUAGUUAUUUAGGGGGUAGGUAGUAAAGAGCUUCAGUCCUGCCUUACCUUCACGUGAGGCAGGACUGGAGCUCUCAGGGUAAUCUCAGGGGUCAGCAGUGGUUCUAUAUCUUAGGGCCUCCCCUUCAGACAUGGAGCCAGUGUUGAGGUUAUUUAGGGGGUGGGUAGCCUUCAUCUUGAAGGGAAAAAGUGAGCUGGGAAUUACUCUUUUCCUUCAAGAUGAACGCAGUAAAGAGCUUCAGUCCUGCCUUACCUCCACGUGAGGCAGGACUGGAGCUCUCAGGGUAAUCUCAGGGGUCAGCGGUGGCUCUAUAUCUGAGGGCUUCCCCUUCAGACAUGGAGCCAGUGUUGAGGUUAUUUAGGGGGUGGGUAGCCUUCAUCUUGAAGGGAAAAAGUGAGCUGAGAAUUACUUUUUUCCUUCAAGAUGAACGCAGUAAAGAGCUUCAGUCCUGCCUUACCUCCACGUGAGGCAGGACUGGAGCUCUCAGGGUAAUCUCAGGGGUCAGCGGUGGUUCUAUAUCUGAGGGCCUCCCCUUCAGACAUGGAGCCAGUGUUGAGGUUAUUUAGGGGGUGGGUAGCCUUCUUCCUGAAAGGAAAAAGUGAGCUGGGGUUUAGGAGCUUCAGUCGUGCCCUGGAUGCAGAGCAGGACUUGAGCUCUCAGAGUCACCUCAGAGGUCAACAAUGUUUCCUCACAACUAGAA